AACGCACAUUGCACCCAUUGGUAAUCCUUUGGGUAUACCUGUUCGAGCGCCGUUUGUGUCUAAGGCUCAGCCUUGCGUUGGAAUGUCCCGGUAGGGACUCUCCGAAACACAUCGGCGCCCGUCUUGGCUUCGAACGCAACGAAAUGCGCGAAGGGUCCGGAUGGGCGGCCAGUCUACGAAAGCAUGGCCUCGGAUCAGGUAGGGAUACCCGCUGAACUUAA
rnacentral:misc_RNA from 1 species